AUCCGGGUUGCGGACAGUGUCUGGUGGGUAGUUUGACUGGGGCGGUCUCCUCCUAAAGAGUAACGGAGGAGCACGAAGGUUGGCUAAUCCUGGUCGGACAUCAGGAGGUUAGUGCAAUGGCAUAAGCCAGCUUGACUGCGAGCGUGACGGCGCGAGCAGGUGCGAAAGCAGGUCAUAGUGAUCCGGUGGUUCUGAAUGGAAGGGCCAUCGCUCAACGGAUAAAAGGUACUCCGGGGAUAACAGGCUGAUACCGCCCAAGAGUUCAUAUCGACGGCGGUGUUUGGCACCUCGAUGUCGGCUCAUCACAUCCUGGGGCUGAAGUAGGUCCCAAGGGUAUGGCUGUUCGCCAUUUAAAGUGGUACGCGAGCUGGGUUUAGAACGUCGUGAGACAGUUCGGUCCCUAUCUGCCGUGGGCGCUGGAGAAUUGAGGGGGGCUGCUCCUAGUACGAGAGGACCGGAGUGGACGCAUCACUGGUGUUCGGGUUGUCAUGCCAAUGGCACUGCCCGGUAGCUAAAUGCGGAAGAGAUAAGUGCUGAAAGCAUCUAAGCACGAAACUUGCCCCGAGAUGAGUUCUCCCUGAC
rnacentral:rRNA from 1 species